AACUUUUAACAACGGAUCACUUGGCUCUGGCAUCGAUGAAGAACGCAGCGAAAUGCGAUAAGUAGUGUGAAUUGCAGAAUUUAGUGAAUCAUCGAAUUUUUGAACGCACAUUGCGCCCUAUAGUAUUCUGUAGGGCAUGCCUGUUCGAGCGUCAUUUAGAACCUCAAGCUUUGCUUGGUCAUGGGUGCUUGUCUAGCGUUAGACAUGCCUUAAAUUCACUAGCAGCUAAUGACAUUAUUCUUUGUGCAGUAAAUGCGUCUAAGAAGUAAUAUUAUUAGUGUCUAUUAGGAAAAUAUCAAUCUUGACCUCGGAUCAGGUAGGGAUACCCGCUGAACUUAAGCAUAUCAAUAAGCGGAGGCU
rnacentral:misc_RNA from 1 species